AAAUUCUGUGGGUCAGGGAACUGUCGCUGUUGCGUGGAUCCUCACGGGCACGGUAAUGGGAACGCUAUUGGGAACGGGAAUGGAAUCGGGAAUGGGAACGGGAAUUGUCGGUAAUGGAGAGGAUUCAAACGAAAGUGACCAAAACCUUGCAAACAGAUGAGUGAGAACUGGCGUUGUCCCCUGCUAGACUGAGAACCAUUAGUUAUGAUUACUAAUUUGACUGAAAACAUUCUUUUCAUCCUAAUUAUAAAUUGGAGAAUCUUAAAUUGAAAACUUUUGUCAUUUUUAAAUAUGUUUUAUGAUUAUUCUGCAAAUAAAUUUAGCAUGCAAAA